ACCUGAUGGUAUGGGCAUUUACAGAGCAGGUCCCUAAAGAGCUCCUAGGUCUCAAAGAAGAGUUCCCGAUCCGUCUGUUUGAAACUUGUUAUUGCCUUUCGCAGCU